rnacentral:rRNA from 1 species
UAGCGAAAUUCCUUGUCGGGUAAGUUCCGACCCGCACGAAAGGCGUAACGAUUUGGGCACUGUCUCAACGAGAGACUCGGUGAAAUCAUAGUACCGGUGAAGAUGCCGGUUACCCGCGACAGGACGGAAAGACCCCGUGGAGCUUUACUGUAGCCUGAUAUUGAAAUUCGGUACAGUUUGUACAGGAUAGGUAGGAGCCUUAGAAGCGUGAGCGCUAGCUUACGUGGAGGCAUUGGUGGGAUACUACCCUAAUUGUAUUGGAUUUCUAACCCGCAGCACUUAUCGUGCUGGGAGACAGUGUCAGGCGGGCAGUUUGACUGGGGCGGUCGCCUCCUAAAGAGUAACGGAGGCGCUCAAAGGUUCCCUCAGAAUGGUUGGAAAUCAUUCAUAGAGUGUAAAGGCAUAAGGGAGCUUGACUGCGAGACCUACAAGUCGAGCAGGGUCGAAAGACGGACUUAGUGAUCCGGUGGUUCCGCAUGGAAGGGCCAUCGCUCAACGGAUAAAAGCUACCCCGGGGAUAACAGGCUUAUCUCCCCCAAGAGUUCACAUCGACGGGGAGGUUUGGCACCUCGAUGUCGGCUCAUCGCAUCCUGGGGCUGUAGUCGGUCCCAAGGGUUGGGCUGUUCGCCCAUUAAAGCGGUACGCGAGCUGGGUUCAGAACGUCGUGAGACAGUUCGGUCCCUAUCCGUCGUGGGCGUAGGAAAUUUGAGAGGAGCUGUCCUUAGUACGAGAGGACCGGGAUGGACAUACCUCUGGUGUACCAGUUGUCGUGCCAACGGCAUAGCUGGGUAGCUAUGUAUGGACGGGAUAAGUGCUGAAAGCAUCUAAGCAUGAAGCCCCCCUCGAGAUGAGAUUUCCCAACUUCGGUUAUAAG